CAAAGGGGGCGACCCCGGUCAUGGAUGGGCAUGCGGCGCAUUAGGUAGUUGGUGGGGCAACGGCCCACCAAGCCGACGAUGCGUAGGGGUUCUGAGAGGAAGGUCCCCCACAUUGGAACUGAGACACGGUCCAAACUCCUACGGGAGGCAGCAGUGAGGAAUAUUGGUCAAUGGCCGGAAGGCUGAACCAGCCAAGUCGCGUGAGGGAAUAAGGCCCUACGGGUCGUAAACCUCUUUUGCCAGGGAGCAAUGCCGUCCACGUGUGGACGGGAGGAGAGUACCUGGAGAAAAAGCAUCGGCUAACUCCGUGCCAGCAGCCGCGGUAAUACGGAGGAUGCGAGCGUUAUCCGGAUUUAUUGGGUUUAAAGGGUGCGUAGGCGGCCUGCCAAGUCAGCGGUAAAAUUGCGGGGCUCAACCCCGUACAGCCGUUGAAACUGCCGGGCUCGAGUGGGCGAGAAGUAUGCGGAAUGCGUGGUGUAGCGGUGAAAUGCAUAGAUAUCACGCAGAACCCCGAUUGCGAAGGCAGCAUACCGGCGCCCGACUGACGCUGAGGCACGAAAGUGCGGGGAUCAAACAGGAUUAGAUACCCUGGUAGUCCGCACAGUAAACGAUGAAUGCUAGCUGUCCGGGGGGAUUGACCCCUGG
rnacentral:rRNA from 1 species